ACCUGGUUGAUCUUGCCAGUAGUCAUAUGCUUGUCUCAAAGAUUAAGCCAUGCAAGUGAAAGUAUAUGCAUAUUUUAUAUGUAGAAACUGCGAACGGCUCAUUAAAACAGUUAUAAUCUACUUGACAUUUUUUCUAUAAGGAUAACUACGGAAAAGCUGUAGCUAAUACUUGCUUUAGCACUCUUGAUUCAUUUCUUGAGUGUGUACUUGUUAAGCCUUUUAAGAAAAAAGUUAUUAACUUAAGGAAUUAUAACAAAGAAGCGACACGUAAUGGAUCCGUCCAUUUUUAGUGUGUAUCAAUCGAGUUUCUGACCUAUCAGCUUUUGAUGUUAGGGUAUUGGCCUAACAUGGCUAUGACGGGUAACGGGGAAUUAGAGUUCGAUUCCGGAGAGGGAGCCUGAGAAAUAGCUACCACAUCUAAGGAAGGCAGCAGGCGCGUAAAUUACCCAAUUCUAAAGAAGAGAGGUAGUGACAAGAAAUAACAAUACAAGGCCAAUCUGGCUUUGUAAUUGGAAUGAUGGGAAUUUAAAACCUUCCCAAAACACAAUUGGAGGGCAAGUCUGGUGCCAGCAGCCGCGGUAAUUCCAGCUCCAAUAGCGUAUAUUAAAAUUGUUGCAGUUAAAACGCUCGUAGUUGAAUUUCAAAGAAUCGAUAUUUUAAGCAACGCUUCUAGCUUAAUCCACAUAACUGAUACUUCGUAUCGACUUUGUGCGCAUUUUGCUAUUAUGUGUUCUUUUAAUUAAAAUGAUUCUUUUUAAGGACUUUCUUUGCUUCGGCUUGGAAGUCCUUGUUACUUUGAGUAAAUUAGAGUGUUCAAAGCAAACAGAUAUAGCAUUGCGCGUUUGAAUACUACAGCAUGGAAUAACAAAAUUGAACAAGUCAGAAUUUUGUUCUUUUUUCUUAUUUUGGCUUAGUUACGAUUAAUAGGAGUAGCUUGGGGGCAUUUGUAUUCAGAUGUCAGAGGUGAAAUUCUUAGAUUUUCUGGAGACAAACAACUGCGAAAGCAUUUGCCUAAAAUACUUCCAUUAAUCAAGAACGAAAGUUAAGGGAGUGAAGACGAUCAGAUACCGUCGUAAUCUUAACCAUAAACUAUGCCGACUAGGCUUUGGAUGAAAGAUUUUAAAAUAAGAAUUUUCUCUUCGGAGUUUACUCUUAGAUUGCUUCCUUCAGUGCCUUAUGAGAAAUCAAAGUCUUUGGGUUCUGGGGCGAGUAUUCGCGCAAGCGAGAAAGUUAAAAGAAUUGACGGAAGGGCACCACCAGGCGUGGAGCUUGCGGCUUAAUUUGACUCAACACGGGAAAACUCACUAGUUUAAGACAAGAGUAGGAUUGACAGAUUAAUAGCUCUUUCUUGAUUUCUUGGAUGGUGAUGCAUGGCCGUUUUUAGUUCGUGAAUAUGAUUUGUCUGGUUAAUUCCGAUAACGAACGAGAUCUUAACCUGCUAAUUAGCGGCAAAUACGAUAUAUUCUUACGUGGGACUGAAUUCGGUUGAUUUGCUUACUUCGAAGAAAAUAUUGGGAUACGUAACAGUUUCCCUUUCCCUUUUCUACUUAGUUCGCUUUUCAUACUGUUUCUUUUUCGCGUAAGAAUGUAUUUGCUUGAUUGUAAAGCUUCUUAGAGGAACGAUGUGUGUCUAACACAAGGAAGUUUAAGGCAACAACAGGUCUGUGAUGUCCUUAGAUGAACUAGGCUGCACG
rnacentral:rRNA from 1 species